AUUGAACGCUGGCGGCAGGCCUAACACAUGCAAGUCGAACGAGUGGCGGACGGGUGAGUAAUGUCUGGGAAACUGCCUGAUGGAGGGGGAUAACUACUGGAAACGGUAGCUAAUACCGCAUACCAUCAGAUGUGCCCAGAUGGGAGUAGCUUGUUGGUGGGGUAACGGCGCACCAAGGCGACGAUUCCUAGCUGGUCUGAGAGGAUGACCCGCCAAACUGGAACUGAGAGACAGUGCAGGCGCCUAGUGGAGGCAGCAGUGGGGAAUAGUGCACAAUGGGCGCAAGCCUGAUGCAGCCAUGCCGCGUGUAUGAAGAAGGCCUUCGGGUUGUAAAGUACUUUCAGCGGGGAGGCGUUACCCGCAGAAGAAGCACCGGCUAACUCCGUGCCAGCCGCCGCGGUAAUUC
rnacentral:rRNA from 1 species